CAAGUCGAACGGAAGUUAGAGCUUCGGUUUUAACUUUAGUGGCGAACGGGUGAGUAACGCGUGAGGAACCUGCCUUUCAGUGGGGGACAACAGUUGGGAACGACUGCUAAUACCGCAUGACACUUUUGGGAGACAUCUCCUGGAAGUCAAAGCUUUAUGUGCUGAAAGAUGGCCUCGCGUCUGAUUAGCUGGUUGGUGAGGUAACGGCUCACCAAGGCGACGAUCAGUAGCCGGUCUGAGAGGAUGAACGGCCACAUUGGGACUGAGAUACGGCCCAGACUCCUACGGGAGGCAGCAGUGGGGAAUAUUGGGCAAUGGGGGAAACCCUGACCCAGCAACGCCGCGUGAAGGAAGAAGGCCUUCGGGUUGUAAACUUCUUUUACCAGGGACGAAGGACGUGACGGUACCUGGAGAAAAAGCAACGGCUAACUACGUGCCAGCAGCCGCGGUAAUACGUAGGUUGCAAGCGUUGUCCGGAUUUACUGGGUGUAAAGGGCGUGUAGGCGGAGAUGCAAGUUGGGAGUGAAAUCCAUGGGCUCAACCCAUGAACUGCUCUCAAAACUGUAUCCCUUGAGUAUCGGAGAGGCAAGCGGAAUUCCUAGUGUAGCGGUGAAAUGCGUAGAUAUUAGGAGGAACACCAGUGGCGAAGGCGGCUUGCUGGACGACAACUGACGCUGAGGCGCGAAAGCGUGGGGAGCAAACAGGAUUAGAUACCCUGGUAGUCCACGCUGUAAACGAUGAAUACUAGGUGUGGGAGGACUGACCCCUUCCGUGCCGCAGUUAACACAAUAAGUAUUCCACCUGGGGAGUACGACCGCAAGGUUGAAACUCAA
rnacentral:rRNA from 1 species